GAAUGGGGAAGGGCUGCCUGAAAGCGAGAGGAGGGUAGACUAAUCGACCUGUCCCGGGUCCUUCUUAGGGCACUUCUUAUGCAUCUAGAAGCCUCCUUGAAUGGUGUCUUCAAUCACGGAUCCUCAAGCCUUCUUCACACGCUUGGAGACUUCUGUCCCCUCCACCUCAGAGCUGGGUAUAGAGUAAACCUGGGCUUCACCUGCCCUCUGCUUUGUCAACUGAAAGAUUAGAUCCUCAGGCUGGGACGGUGCUCUACUAGAGGAAAGACAUUUUGCUUGAGGCUAUGUCAGACUCAAAGCAGUAUGAAACAU
rnacentral:lncRNA from 1 species